AAAGUGAAUAGUGAAAGCUGGAGGCUCAACCUCUCAGAUUGUUGUUCAUACUCACUGACUCGAGAGUAGCAGAGGUAACUGGAAUUUCUGAAGUAGGGGUAAUAUCCGUAGAUAUCAGAAGGAACACCAAUGGCGUAGGCAGGUUACUGGGCUAUUCUGACACUGAGGCACGAAAGCGUGGGAGCGAACCGGAUUAGAUACCCGGGUAGUCCACGCCGUAAACGAUGGAUACUA
rnacentral:rRNA from 1 species